UACGAAGGGUGCAAGCGUUAAUCGGAAUUACUGGGCGUAAAGCGUGCGUAGGUGGUUUGUUAAGUCUGCUGUGAAAGCCCUGGGCUCAACCUGGGAAUGGCGGUGGAUACUGACAAGCUAGAGUGCGGUAGAGGAGGGUGGAAUUCCCGGUGUAGCGGUGAAAUGCGUAGAGAUCGGGAGGAACAUCAGUGGCGAAGGCGGCCCUCUGGACCAGCACUGACGCUGAGGCACGAAAGCGUGGGGAGCAAACGGG
rnacentral:rRNA from 1 species